CUUAGAGAACUAGUUAGUUGUAACUAGUGGAUUAAUGAUUAAUUAAAGACAUAAACCUCCUAAUUAUCCUAAGUACCAAAAGAUCUACUACAAUCAUCAUUCUAGUGUCCAAUAAGUCAACAAAAAUCAACUAACCCAAUCUUUCCCCCAUCCCUAAAACUUACGUAUCAUGGAUGGAGGCCCACAUCUCUACCAACUCAUGAUGUUGUUGAAGUAAAAAAAAGUAUGGGUUAUUUUGACCAUUUGUAGCUCAUGAAACUUGGAAAGAUUAAAAGAACACUAGAACACACAUACUUACAUCUACACUUAGCAAAAACUCAACUUUCUUUCCUUCCAUCCACUACCUACGAUAUAACCACCAACAUAUUCAUUUCUUUUUUUAAAAACCUUUAAACACUAAAUUUUCACUAGGAAUCCUUAGGUGUUGAGAUAUUAGAAGUAUUUGGAGCAAUCUUGGAGCUAUAUCUCAACACAUAAACCUCCACCAUCCACCUUAAAGAGAAACCUUCUCUAGUUUUAGACUAGUGGUGUUAGCUUAUGAGUCGGGAAUUAUUUUGGACAUUUGGUUUUGCUAGCAUACGCACGGAACGCAAUUUGUGA
rnacentral:lncRNA from 1 species